UGAAUACGAGAUGCUACGGCGUCGAAGCAGUCUAUGUCAUACUUCCAAGAAAAGCUUGCACUGUCAUAAACAAAUAAUGCCUGUACCAUAACCGACACAGGUGGGUAGGUAGAGUAUACUAAGGGGCGCGAGAUAACUCUCUCUAAGGAACUCGGCAAAAUGACUCCGUAACUUCGGGAGAAGGAGUGCCUUAUUUAUAAGGUUGCAAUAACAAGAUCCAAGCAACUGUUUACCAAAAACACAGGUCUCCACUAAGUCGUAAGACGAUGUAUGGGGGCUGACGCCUGCCCAGUGCCAGAAGGUUAAAGAAGUUGGUUAGCAUCCGCGAAGCUGAUAACUGAAGCCCUGGUGAACGGCGGCCGUAACGAUAACGGUCCUAAGGUAGCGAAAUUCCUUGUCGGGUAAGUUCCGACCCGCACGAAAGGCGUAAUGAUUUGGAUACUGUCUCGGAGAGGGGCUCGGUGAAAUAGACUUGUCUGUGAAGAUGCGGACUACCUGCACCAGGACAGAAAGACCCUAUGAAGCUUUACUGUAACCUGAAAUUGAAAUUGGACUUUACUUGCGCAGUAUAGGUGGGAGGCGUUGAGAAUAUUCUUGCGGGAUUAUUGGAGCCAUCAGUGAGAUACCACUCUUGUAAUGUUAGAUUUCUAACUUUGUAUCAUUAUCUGGUCAAAGAACAGUUUCAGGCGGGCAGUUUGACUGGGGCGGUCGCCUCCUAAACGGUAACGGAGGCGCACAAAGGUUUCCUCUGAACGGGUAGAAAUCGUAUCUAGAGUGUAAAGGCAUAAGGAAGCUUGACUGUGAGACCUACAAGUCGAGCAGGGACGAAAGUCGGUCUUAGUGAUCUGACGGUGCUGAGUGGAAAGGCCGUCACUCAACGGAUAAAAGUUACUCUAAGGAUAACAGGCUGAUCUCCCCCAAGAGUUCACAUCGACGGGGAGGUUUGGCACCUCGAUGUCGGCUCAUCGCAUCCUGGGGCGGUAGUACGUCCCAAGGGUUGGGCUGUUCGCCCAUGAAAGCGGUACGCGAGCUGGGUUCAGAACGUCGUGAGACAGUUCGGUCCAUAUCCGGUGUAGGCGUUAGAAUAUUGAGAGGAGCCUUCUUUAGUACGAGAGGACCGAGAAGGACAUACCUCUGGUGUACCAGUUAUCGUGCCAACGGUAAACGCUGGGUAGCUAUGUGUGGAGUGGAUAACCGCUGAAAGCAUCUAAGUGGGAAGCCCACCUCAAGAUAAG
rnacentral:rRNA from 1 species